UACGUAGGGGGCAAGCGUUGUCCGGAUUUAUUGGGCGUAAAGAGCGUGUAGGCGGCCAUGUAGGUCCGUUGUGAAAACUCGAGGCUCAACCUCGAGACGCCGAUGGAAACCAUGUGGCUAGAGUCCGGAAGAGGAGAGUGGAAUUCCUGGUGUAGCGGUGAAAUGCGCAGAUAUCAGGAAGAACACCCGUGGCUAAGGCGGCUCUCUAGUACGGUACUGACGCUGAGACGCGAAUGCGUGGGGAGCGAACCGG
rnacentral:rRNA from 1 species